UUAAAAUGUAAAAAUUAUGCUAGAGUAGUAAUAGAUAUGAUCUUGAAACUUAAAGAAUUUGGCGGUAUUUUAGUCUAUUCAGAGGAACCUGUUCUAUAAUCGAUAAUCCACGAUGGACCUCACUUAAGCUUGUAAUCAGUUUAUAUACCGUCGUUAUCAGGGAAUUUCAAAAGAAAUUUAAUUCCCAAUUAUUUUUUAGAAUUUAUAUCAGAUCAAGGUGUAGCUUAUGUUUAAGAAGAAAUGGGUUACAAUAAAUUUAUUUAAAUGGAUUUCUUUUUGAAAUGAAAGAAUGAAAGUGGAUUUGAUAGUAAAAUUUUAAAGAUAAAAAAUUUGAUUAUAGCUCUAAAAUAUGCAC
rnacentral:rRNA from 1 species